rnacentral:rRNA from 1 species
GUAAACUCGGUGACGGGUGCGGCGGUAAUACGGUGGAUGGAAGCGUUAUCCGGAUUCAUUGGGGUUAAAGGGUGCGUAGGCGGAAGACUAAGUCAGGAGUGAAAUCCUGCAGCGUAACUGUAGAACGGUUAGUGAGACUGGUAUUCUUGAAUGCAGUUGAGGUAGGCGGAAUGUGUAAUGUAGCUGUGAAAUGCUUAGAUAUUACACAGAACACCGAUUGCGAAGGCAGCUUACUAAACUGUGAUUGACGCUGAGGCACGAAAGCGUGGGGAGCAAACAGGAUUAGAUACCCGUGUAGUC